AACGCGAAGAACCUUACCUGGUCUUGACAUCCACGGAAGUUUUCAGAGAUGAGAAUGUGCCUUCGGGAACCGUGAGACAGGUGCUGCAUGGCUGUCGUCAGCUCGUGUUGUGAAAUGUUGGGUUAAGUCCCGCAGCGAGCGCAACCCUUAUCCUUUGUUGCCAGCGGUCCGGCCGGGAACUCAAAGGAGACUGCCAGUGAUAAACUGGAGGAAGGUGGGGAUGACGUCAAGUCAUCAUGGCCCUUACGACCAGGGCUACACACGUGCUACAAUGGCGCAUACAAAGAGAAGCGACCUCGCGAGAGCAAGCGGACCUCAUAAAGUGCGUCGUAGUCCGGAUUGGAGUCUGCAACUCGACUCCAUGAAGUCGGAAUCGUUAGUAAUCGUGGAUCAGAAUGCCACGGUGAAUACGUUCCCGGGUCUUGUACACACCG
rnacentral:rRNA from 1 species